AGGAGAAGAGAAAGAGCAAGGCAGAGAGAAAGAAGAAGUGGGUGACUAAGGCAGGAGUAAUAAAACAUUGAGCUACUGGGGGCUGUCCACUCCUAAGCCCCAAAUUUUAGAAUACAUUUGUAGUAUAAGUUUUCCGAGCAAGUCUCUCAAGUGCUUAAAAGGUGGGGGUUGGGGGAUUUGACCUCCAUGUAGAAUGCUGAACGCUGUCAUCAGCUGUGGCUGGUUCACAGGAUUACUCAUGUCCUGCGGUGAAGGGCAGAUAGGAAAAUGACUCACUUCACAUACAGCAGCGCCCCUCCACCUGACGUACAUAAGCAUCACCUGGGAGCUUUUAAAUACGACCGACGCCAGGGCCUCAUGCCAGAGAUUCUGACAGACUUGGAAUGGGGUGGAGCCUGAAGGCUGACCUAUUCUAAAGGCUCUUCAGGGAUUUUUAAUAUGCAGCUAGGAUUGAAAAUCACUUAUGUAGACAUACAGUUUUUAUGUUUUAACAAACACAUUUAAGGCAAACAAACUACUGGGGUGAUCUUUGGAUGCAUCACAGAACUUUUUCAGAAGCAUUUGGUAGUCCCAAUGAUUUCUACUUCUAAAGAGUGCUAGUGAAUGAGGGAUUCUGAUUGAGGACUGACUUUGCUGCCUUAGGGUUCUCUCCUAACCAAAAGGCUUUCUGUUUUGGAAUCAUGGAGCACAUCUUUUGUGGGCUGCGAAAAGCUCUAGGUGGAAGGGAAGAGCAUCAGGUGGUGAAGCUGAGCCAGGAGAGUCUAAAAUCCAUGUGGCCGCUCAGGCACCCUGGAGUCUAGAGGGAGUUCCCUGAUCUCACAUUUGAGAGUGAUUCUAGGGGGUGAAAAAUAGAUAUUGGAUGAGUAAUCAAGCAACAGCUCUGGUGUGAUGAGUUACGGCACUGAAGCAUGGGAAUAAGAUCGGGACACAGUGAUACUCUGAUACAGGCCGCAUCAAGGUGAAAACACCUUGUUUCCACUGGAGCAUUAGGCAGCAGGACAAUACAUCAUGGAGCCAUUUUUCAUUCAGUCAUACCACUGGCAGAAGAGAUGUUAAGACGUAAAAUGUGAUUGCACACCCCAUCAACUUUUAUACAGGAUGAGGAGGAUGGAAGCCGUGGUGUGGCCUCUGGUUCGUGAUUAUGGGUGGAGCACUGGUGUGCACUGACCCACAUCUCACACCAGCACUGCAGACAUCAGUGGCCAUACUUAGACUUGGAUGAUUGUUUUGGCUUCUGAUGAGACCCAAAGCAAGUCAAGAAUCUACUUAUUUUUAUUUUUACUUUUUAUUUAUUUAUUUUUGAGAAGUGGUCUCCCUAUUUGCCCAGGCUGGUCUCAAACUCCUGGCCUCAAGCAAUCCCCCCCAUACCCCUGCAAAGUACUGAGAUUACAGGUGUGAGCCACCGUGGGUGGCCUAAGAAUCUAUUUUAAACAAAUUUGUUUGACUAAAAUCUGUAUGUGCAUGUGACUGUGGCUAUGUGAGUACAUGGGAGAGGGGAUGGUAUAAGAGGAGGAGAAAGAAGGACCUAGAUUUGAACAUCUCUGUACCUAUGAUCAUGGCUCUCCAAUUUCUAGGAUGGAAAAAGAGAUCUCUGAUAAGUUUAAUUAAGCUUCCUCAUCUCUGGAAGCUUCAAAAAGGCUGAGUCGGGUGGAGAGGGGAGGGCUGGCUAACCAUGUGGGUCUCCUCAAGUCCCCUCAGAUUUAAUUGCCAACAUAAAUGGCCCCCAGUCCUGCAGCUUAUCAACUUGAUGUGUAUAAUUGAUAGCCAAACAUUUUUUACAGGCUGUUAAAUGGUUAAGGCCACAAUGAAAUGUAUAUAAUGUUGAUUAAAGUGAUUUUUGUACAAAAGGGUCAGAGACAUUAACAAGUUAAAA